UUACACUGUUAAAACAGUUCAGGUGUGCGUAGCAGAACCAUAUAAAAAAGAUAUAUAUAUAUAUAUAUAUAUGUACAUAAUUUAUUCCUUUUUAAAGUGUUUGGCAUAAGAUUUAGGUAUUCUCUUAAAGUUUAACAUUUCGGACAUAAAAAUCAUUUCUGAUUAGAGGCGCACAGCUCCAGUGACAUAGACGGCUAAAGGAUAAAAUGAAGACACUCGUGUUUCUGAUUGUAAUUCUGACCAGUUUAUUCUAGGACCUUAAUGCUAAAGCUUGCUGUUCAAACGGAUGGAUAGCAUACAACUCUCACUGCUACUUUGUUGGAUAUGAAGCACGAACAUUCUCGGAGGCCCAUCACUUCUGUACGCAACGAGAGGCAUACCUUGUGCGUAUUGACGACUAUUUGGAAAAUAAUUUUCUGAAAAAUAUGCUAAAAAGGUCCAAUGUGAUCCGUGCAUGGACUGGUUUGACAGACCAGAGAGAUGAAGGUUUUUGGCAAUGGUAUGGUACGAACGAUCAUGCGACUUUCUAUGACUGGGGACCUGGAGAGCCAAAUAAUACAGAUAAUGAAGAUUGUGUUGCCAUUAGGGCUAUGGAAGCAUUCGACUGGAACGACUAUAACUGCGAUAGAAAAUUCAGACUCGUAUGCGAGAAAUAAAACAAUAACUUGUUUGGAAACGUUUCAUUCAUAUGCAAUAUUAUUGUUUGAUACUUGCUGUUAGGUUUGGACUGAUAUCUUGUUCUAAAAUUUAAAGGUAUACCCAUUUAGUUUAUGAUAUCAAAUAAUGUGACUAAAACAUACCUAUUGUAAGGAAAUUAAGAUGUUACGUUCCUACCUCUAGGUAUUCUAUAAGAAUCAUGGUCAUAAACGGGAAUGUGCACCAACCCAUUUCAAUCGUACAUUUCUCACCUAAAACGCACAGUUCUGUGAAUGGGUACAAGGCAUACUGAACAAGCGGUAAUUUAUCUUUCACAAAACAAAUUUUAUCAAUAUCUCAUAUUGCAGAGAUACUCCACAUAUUUUAUGAUUUCGUCAGCUUUACAGAAAAAAAACUUGCGUGAACUCCCCUAAUGAACAUCCGGUCUCGAGGUCACAGCUGUGUGCACAUGUUAGGCGGAAUGUAAACAAACAAAAAAACAGAAUGCAAAUAUUCACUGUUUUACAAUAAAAUUCGAAAUGAUGACUGACUAAAAUUCAUUUUUGAAAUGAUUUUGAAUUUGAAAUCAUACAUUUGUGUAUAUCUUUACUGUUUAUUUAACUCAUACUGCACAUUUAUGCUGCAUAUACACAUUUUAGCAUACACGUGUACAGUUAAAUGACGACUGACAUACAUUUUCACAUGAAAAAGU